ACUGCUGCCUCCCGUAGGAGUAGGGGGAAUCUUCCACAAUGGGCGCAAGCCUGAUGGAGCAACACCGCGUGAGUGAAGAAGGGUUUCGGCUCGUAAAGCUCUGUUGUUAAAGAAGAACACGUAUGAGAGUAACUGUUCAUACGUNGACGGUAUUUAACCAGAAAGUCACGGCUAACUACGUGCCAGCAGCCGCGGUAAUAC
rnacentral:rRNA from 1 species